rnacentral:rRNA from 1 species
UAGUGUGCCUUGAGAUGGGGGAUAACGAGCCGAAAGGCUCGCUAAUACCGCAUAUGCCGAAAGGUGAAAGGAGUAAUCCGUCUUAAGAUGAGCCCGCGUCCGAUUAGCUAGUUGGUGGGGUAAAGGCCUACCAAGGCGACGAUCGGUAGCUGGUCUGAGAGGAUGAUCAGCCACAAUGGGACUGAGACACGGCCCAUACUCCUACGGGAGGCAGCAGUGGGGAAUUUUACGCAAGUGGGGAAACCCUGACGUAGCGACACCGCGUGAGCGAAGAAGCCCGUUUGGGGUGUAAAGCUCUGUCAGCUGGAACGAAAAAAUGACGGUACCAGCAGAGGAAGCAUCGGCUAACUACGUG